UGAGCUUUGUCUCGGCUGUUAGAGUACUUGCCUACCAAGCAAGAGACCCUGGGUUCAAUCCCUAGUACUUCAA
rnacentral:tRNA from 1 species